UUCAUCCAAGACUAGGCUUGACCAGCGGGUGGGAAGCGACUAGAGAAUAUGACGUCUUUACUCAACUAUUUGUAGAUGUCAAGGAAUUUGUAUAGUAAAUAUAUUAGCUUUUGUGAUCCACUUCUGGUUUAUGCCUGCUUUAUCAUGCCUUGUGUGACUAUAGGCCUCUGGUCUAUAGGCGCGCGGCGGCUGUCUCGCCUAGGCCCGGUCUCGGGGCGUGACUUGCUUCCUCCGUUUUUUUAGAUGCGAACGAGGUAACUUAAGUAUGUUCAACUUAAGUAUGUUCAGAAGAUGUCUUCAUCCAAGACUAGGCUUGACCAGCGGGUGGGAAGCGACUAGAGAAUAUGAUGUCUUUACUCAACUAUUUGUAGAUGUCAAGGAAUUUGUAUAGUAAAUAUAUUAGCUUUUGUGAUCCACUUCUGGUUUAUGCCUUCUUUAUCAUGCCUUGCGUGACUAUAGUCCUCCUUGUCUAUAGGCGCGCGGCGGCUGUCUCGCCUAGGCCCGGUCUCGGGGCGUGACAGUUAAGGCGUGAUUAAUUAAGCAUUAACCAUCAGUGGAUCACAAAAGCUCAUAUAUAUUGACGACAGAAAUUUCUUUACAUAUACAAAUAGACAAAAUACAUUAAAAUCUCUAGUCGUUUCCCACCCACUGGUCGAGCCUAUUCUUGGAUGACAUCUUCUGGGCAUACUUAAGUUACACCGACUGCAUCUAAGAAAUAGAGAAGACAAGGGUGAGUACGAUAAAUCAUACUCAGCAAGCAAAUACUUCACUAUUCAAUAAGGAGCAAUGGUAUGAUGGUGUAGAUCAACAGACGAACUGAAUUCAGAGGAUAACAAUGUAACAACCAUUGGAAUCAUAUUUUGAUGUAAAUGGACAAAAGAACAAAAUACCAGAUUUAGUAAAAACAACAAGGAAUCUAUUGGCGUCACACAUGACCGCAAGCUUCCCAACCCGGGAGUCACAGGGUGAAAUUUCACACUUUUACGCUCUUAAGAGGGGUACUCCGACGUCGACAGCCUCGACUAGAACCACACAGGUUCCAGAAGAGCAGAGCUCUUUUACCCACUAAGUCCCGGACACCUGUACCUACUUAUGUCGGUCGCUCCUACGGAUCCAUCACCGACACGUUCCCGAACAAGAUCCGACCUUAACGGAGAGCCCAGACAGUCCCAUACCUAAACUGUGACCGGUACAAUACGUUUGCAGUCGUGACACCAAUAUAGAUGGAUGUGUGUUUGAAUCAACAUUAGGACCACUGAAGUAUCGGUCAAAGACAAUACACUCAUGGCUUUUCAUGAGUUCCUCCAAAAUACUCUGAUUCCAUCAACAAAUGGAUUAUGAGGAAAACACAUCCCUCUUUCAAGGAUCAAUAGAGGAUCAACAAAGAUCAAGGUGCAAUGAUAUUACCAGAUAAUCAAGCAAGACAACAAUAAGGAGAGAUCAGGGAGUUUAGCAAAGCAGCUACUUGCCUCAGAUAAUAUGAUUUCUCCUUUAGAAUAAUACUCUGCAAGAAGAUGAAACUCCAUCAUCUUUGUAUAAAAUCUGACGACCGCGCAUAUACUAAUAUUCUUCUGACGUAUGGCUUUGUUCUUCCCUCCAUCAGCAUCUACACGAUCUAUAUAUCUUCAAACAUGGACGCAUGCAUACUUGUAUUCUUCAUCUCUCUUCUCUUCGCUCUCUCCGCUGGUAUGCUCUAUUUCUCUCAUGCUCUCUCCUAGUAUCUUCUCUUCGCUCUAUUUCUCUCAUGCUCUCACUCUUGGUGAUGAGGAUGUGCAAAACGAGUAGCAGUAGCUAUUUAUAGAUGGUGAGCCCAGAGUGAACUCAGCCGAGCUGUUCUUGAAGCACACAAUCAUCUAGACUCUACCUAUUACGUGGCAUGCAUGCCUUGGUCUACGUGGAGAACCUGGUAAAAGAUCUAAGCCGCAAUGGCCUUUGACCCUUGCCCCUUGACCCUUCGAACUGCUGCCCCUUUUGCUUGUGCAAAAGCCAAACAAACCUGACCACUAUACAAAAGCUCCACGUAGCAAUUUCUUUGUCCUAAAUAUCUAAGGAUGCUGCCAGCACAACCUAGCUUCAUCUAGUACCAGGCCACGUUGGCCCUCUCAUGCAGAGGAUUUUACUUAGCUUGUAAGGAUAGUACAUACGUGUGCAUUUUCAUCAUUACAUGCAUGCACAUCUUCUAGUAUUUGGCCAUCUUCUCAUUACUAGCUAUCCUGUACUAGCCACUAAUUUGUAUUAAUUUGCAUACUAAUGCCAUAACGUGAGUGCAUGGAUGCUAGUCUACGUGCACAUAUACAUAUUUACUUAGUGUGUAAUUAUAUCCAUCUAAUAUUUUAUGCAUGCAAAAAUUACAGCUCUAUUUUAAUUCUUUAAAACAGGAAUCUAGCAUAACUUAUUUGCCCAAUUAUUUUAUGUUAAACAGAUAACAGAAAUUUAAUACCCAACUUAAUUUAAAUUAAUAACCCAAAAAUAUGGGUUAUUACAUCUGCCACUUUAACUGUCACGCCCCGAGACCGGGCCUAGGCGAGACAGCCGCCGCGCGCCUAUAGACCAGGAGGACUAUAGUCACGCAAGGCGUGAUUAAUUAAGCAUUAACCAUCAGUGGAUCACAAAAGCUCAUAUAUAUUGACUACAUAAAUUUCUUUACAUAUACAAAUAGACAAAAUACAUUAAAAUCUCUAGUCGUUUCCCACCCACUGGUCCAGCCUAUUCUUGGAUGACAUCUUCUGGGCAUACUUAAGUUACACCGACUGCAUCUAAGAAAUAGAGGAGACAAGGGUGAGUACGAUAAAUCAUACUCAGCAAGCAAAUACUUCACUAUUCAAUAAGGAGCAAUGGUAUGAUGGUGUAGAUCAACAGACGAACUGAAUUCAGAGGAUAACAAUGUAACAACCAUUGGAAUCAUAUUUUGAUGUAAAUGGACAAAAGAACAAAAUACCAGAUUUAGUAAAAACAACAAGGAAUCUAUUGGCGUCACACAUGACCGCAAGCUUCCCAAUCCGGGAGUCACAGAGGUGAAAUUUCACACUUUUACGCUCUUAAGAGGGGUACUCCGACGUCGACAGCCUCGACUAGAACCACACAGGUUCCAGAAGAGCAGAGCUCUUUUACCCACUAAGUCCCGGACACCUGUACCUACUUAUGUCGGUCGCUCCUACGGAUCCAUCACCGACACGUUCCCGAACAAGAUCCGACCUUAACGGAGAGCCCAGACAGUCCCAUACCUAAACUGUGACCGGUACAAUACGUUUGCCGUCGUGACACCAAUAUAGAUGGAUGUGUGUUUGAAUCAACAUUAGGACCACUGAAGUAUCGGUCAAAGACAAUACACUCAUGGCUUUUCAUGAGUUCCUCCACAAUACUCUGAUUCCAUCAACAAAUGGAUUAUGAGAAAAACACAUACCUCUUUCAAGGAUCAAUAGAGGAUCAACAAAGAUCAAGGUGCAAUGAUAUUACCAGAUAAUCAAGCAAGACAACAAUAAGGAGAGAUCAGGGAGUUUAGCAAAGCAGCUACUUGCCUCAGAUAAUAUGAUUUCUCGUUUAGAAUAAUAUUCUGCAAGAAGAUGAAACUCCAUCAUCUUUGUAUAAAAUCUGACAAACGCGCAUAUACUAAUAUUCUUCUGACGUAUGGCUUCGUUCUUCCCUCCAUCAGCAUUUACACGAUCUAUAUAUCUUCAAACAUGGACGCAUGCAUACUUGUAUUCUUCAUCUCUCUUCUCUUCGCUCUCUCCGCUGGUAUGCUCUAUUUCUCUCAUGCUCUCUCCUAGUAUCUUCUCUUCGCUCUAUUUCUCUCAUGCUCUCACUCUUGGUGAUGAGGAUGUGCAAAACGAGUAGCAGCAGCUAUUUAUAGAUGGUGAGCCCAGAGUGAACUCAGCCGAGCUAUUCUUGAAGCACACGAUCAUCUAGACUCUACCUAUUACGUGGCAUGCAUGCCUUGGUCUACGUGGAGAACCUGGUAAAAGAUCUAAGCCGCAAUGGCCUUUGACCCUUGCCCCUUGACCCUUCGAACUGCUGCCCCUUUUGCUUGUGCAAAAGCCAAACAAACCUGACCACUAUACAAAACCUCCACGUAGCAAUUUCUUUGUCCUAAAUAUCGAAGGAUGCUGCCAGCACAACCUAGCUUCAUCUAGUACCAGGCCACGUUGGCCUCAUGC
rnacentral:lncRNA from 1 species